rnacentral:lncRNA from 1 species
UCCUGUGAGGCUUCUACACAAUUACCGGUAAGGAGCAUUUGCCAGUCGCAGAGGGAGGUGUUGCCCAACGCUGGCUCCCGAUGCCUGUAGGGCUGCGUGCCCCUGGAUCAGGGAGAACCCUGGGACAGGUCGCCAAGCUUCAUCUCUGGCCUCACCCUGCCUUGUAGCCCAGCCUCGGGGUCUGUGCCCCGUGGGCACCCCAUGGCCUUUGCAUCAUCUCUCACGUCACCUGUGAUGAGGAAAGGUCCCUACAAGCUGCUGAGAACAGGGGCCCCUGUCUUCCCUCUGGUCCUGCGCGCCAUCCUCUCCCUUUGUCCAGAUGCUCUUGUAAGCUCAGCAAAUGCAUGGAGGCUAAUGACACUUUCAUCUGCUGCUCUUAAUGACUUGUGUUGUCAACAUUUGACAGACUCCCCUCACUUUCAACUGGCACGCGGCAUGAAAUCCUUUGGAGCCCCAGUACUGAGGCUGCUCUGACACCGGUUUGAGAGAGGGCAGGCCUGUUACAAUGGUGAUUGGCUGCGAAGCCGCCUCUGUUCCCAGACGGAGUGGGCUGCAUGCAGGAAAUGAAUAGGGGCUGGAGGCGGAAAAUUGGACAGGCCAAUUAGACCGAGCCAGGUCUUUUCAGACGAGCGUCAUGAUUUUGAUUCAAUUCCCAGGACAACAAAUGUGCCUGUGUUUAAACACAGUCUCAGAAAUAUGUUCUCCCAAGCCAAAGUGAAACCCUGUCUGGGCUGACCCCAAUCGGCAGGGCUCGAGGGUGGUGCAGAGCGGGCGGCCUGCAUCUGGGGACACUUUUUUUGAUUACGUAUUUGAUUAGUGGCUCAUUUCCGACGGGUCUUGUUCCCUGCUGGGGAAAGCCUCUAGUUCUGAAGUCCCAUUGCUUCCUCUGUCUUCCACAGUCAUCACUGUCUCCCUGACCACGUUUAGCUCUUUGGUUUUUCCCUGCAUUCUGGGAGAUCCUACAGGUCUCUCCAAAUCACUGAUUCAAGCUUCUUAUUUUUUGCCUGAUUUUAGCGACCUCCUCUCAUCUUUUGGGUGUAUGCCCGUGAAAGCUAGCAAAUCUACAAAAGUGUAUUUCAUACAGACAUUUCAAAGAAUCAUAUUCCAGUAAAUACCUGUGAGCUCAUCAAGAAAUAAAAUGGUGCUGGAUGUGAGAAGCUCCCGUAAACCCACCCUCCCUCUCAGAGGUAACCACCAUCUGGAAUUUUGUAUUAAGCAAUCUCUUGCUUUUCUAGUUUAAAAAAACCUUGUAUGUAUGUAUGCAUUUCUAAAUAAAUACAGUUGACCCAUGAACCACAUGGGCUGGAACUGCACAGGCCCACUCCUAGCUGGAUUUUCCUCUCCCUCCAUCACCCUUGUGACAACGAAAGCAACCCCUCCUCUUCCUCCUCCUCAUCUCCCCGUCACCCCUGUGACAAUAAAACCAACUCCCCUUCCUCCUCAGCCUACCCAACACGAAGACGAUGAGGAUGAAGACCUUCACGAUGACCCACUUCCCCUUCAUGAAGAGUAAAUAUAUUCUCUCUUCCUCAUGAUUUUCUUAAUAACAUUUUCUUUUCUCUAGCUUAUUUUAUUGUAAGAAUAUAGUAUAUAAUGCAUAUAAUAUACAAAAUAUGUGUUAACUGAAUGUUUUUUAUUGGUAAGUCUUCCAGUCAACAGUAGACUAUUAGUUAAGUUUUGGAGAGUUAAUAGUUAUAUUAAGAUUUUAAGUAUGUUUUUGGGUUUUUUUUUUUUUUUUUUUUUUUUUGAGGCAGGAUCUCACGCUGUUGCCCAGGCUGAAGUACUGUGGCACCAUCUCGGCUCACUGCAGCCUCCGCCUCCCAGGUUCAAGCAAUCCUCCGACCUCAGCCUCCCAAGUAGCUGGGGCCACUAGACAUGCCCCCACUACACCAGGCUAAUUUUUAAAAACUUUUUGUAGUGACAGGUUUCGCCAUGUUACCCAGACUGGUCUCAAACUCUGGGGCUCAAGCAAUCCUCCCGCCUCAGCCUCCUGAGUAGCUGGGACUAUAGGUUCAUGCUACCAGGCCUGGAUGAUUUUUUAUUUUUUAUUUAUUAUUAUUUUUUUGAGACGGAGUCUCGCUCCGUCACCCAGGCUGGAGUGCAGUGCCGCGAUCUCGGCUCACCGCAAGCUCUGCCUCCCGGGUUCACGCCAUUCUCCUGCCUCAGCCUCCCGAGUAGCUGGGACUACAGGCGCCCGCCACCACGCCUGGCUAAUUUUUUGUAUUUUUAGUAGAGACGGGGUUUCACCGUGUUAGCCAGGAUGGUCUCGAUCUCCUGACCUCAUAAUCCGCCCGCCUUGGCUUCCUAAAGUGCUGGGAUCACAGGCGUGAGCCACCGUGCCUGGCCGAUUUUUUAUUUUUUAGAGACGAGGGAUCGCCAUGUUGCCCAGGCUGGUCUUGAACUUCUGUGGCCUCAAGCAGUCCUCUUGCCUCAGCCUCCCAGAGUGCUGGGUGUGAGCCACCGUGCCUGACCUACUUAUUCUUUUUCCUGUUCAGCAUCUAGUGUAUGAUACGAUUUGCUUAUUUGUUUAUGUUUCAUCGUCUGUUCCCCACCCUCAGCCCUGGCCCCCUUGCUGGAACGCAAGCUCCAGGCAAAGCUAUUUCACCGUUGCUGUUUUCCAAGGGCCUCGAACAGUGCCCGGCACAUAGCAAAUCCUCAGUGAACAUUAGAGGAAUAAGUGAUUCAAGAAUAGAGCUGUUAGAAGGUGUUCUGGAGGAAGACGCAUCCGGCUUCAUCCCUGGCACCAUCAAUUACUACCCAACGUCUUUGGGCAAGUGACCUCUUCUCUCUAAGCUUCAGUUUCUCCACCUGUCACAGAGGACAAUGGGCUCCCGUGGGGAUGAAGCGAGAUGAUCAUGGCCUGGCCCUUAGUGGGCACUCAGCUCACAUCUGCUAUGAACGAUGGGAGUCCUUCGGUGUGCCUGUGUGUGAACGAUGAACUCACGGACUGGAGCACUGUGCUGAAAGAGUCAGCAGCCUCUUGGAUCUCUCAGUGCCUCAGAGGCAAACUUCUCCAGUGCACAGACGUGGGCUCAGGUAGACGCCCCAGGCAAGGGGCAGGGGAAGAUGGGAUGGCUCAGUCCAUCUGCAGGGGUGCAGUG